GACGAACGCUGGCGGCGUGCUUAACACAUGCAAGUCGAACGGAAAGGCCCUGCUUUUGUGGGGUGCUCGAGUGGCGAACGGGUGAGUAACACGUGAGUAACCUGCCCUUGACUUUGGGAUAGCUUCAGGAAACUGGGGCUAAUACCGGAUAGGAGCUCCUGCUGCAUGGUGGGGGUUGGAAAGUUUCGGCGGUUGGGGAUGGACUCGCGGCUUAUCAGCUUGUUGGUGGGGUAGUGGCUUACCAAGGCUUUGACGGGUAGCCGGCCUGAGAGGGUGACCGGCCACAUUGGGACUGAGAUACGGCCCAGACUCCUACGGGAGGCAGCAGGGGGGAAUAUUGCACAAUGGGCGGAAGCCUGAUGCAGCAACGCCGCGUGCGGGAUGACGGCCUUCGGGUUGUAAACCGCUUUCGCCUGUGACGAAGCGUGAGUGACGGUAAUGGGUAAAGAAGCACCGGCUAACUACGUG
rnacentral:rRNA from 1 species